UUGGUCUUUUUUCUGAAUUCUUUUGUAAAUCCAUUCCCUUCCUCUUAGGGUAUUCAGUGAGAUCCAUUGCCCCCAAAUGAAGUAAUUACCAUACUGAGUCACUACCCAAAUUGUAUAUUUAGUGCCCCAGCACCAAUCAGUUUGUGCAUUUCUUUUCUUCCCCUCCCCACCAAGGGUGGGCAGGGUCUAGUCCUGCCCCCAACCAAUCAGAAGUCAGAUUGGUGCAAAACGUGGUGGGCCUAUUCAGACCAAUAGCCAGCAAACAAGGCCCAACCCUGUCUUCGGAUUUCCCAAGAUCCUUCUGGGCAGGUUGAGCAGACUCUCUGGAGAUCUGUGUGCAAAAUGGGAGCACUUGGUCUGCAAACGAAUGGAGUUCAGAAGGUGUCUUUUUAAUACCAAGUUCGAACAAUGAAGGCAGAGACAGAUUCAGCAGAGCAUCUUCUAAAGAUAUUUCAUAUAGAGAUACUUGGUGCAUGGAUUUGAUUUGCCUCUGGAGCCUGACUGAUCAUCGUAUUUGGGAGCAUGAAAGAUUUUUCUUCCAUGUAAAGCCACCUAGUGAUUCUGGAGAGCCUAGCAGCCGUCCCGGCUGUUAUACCAAGGGGAGAGAUUUCAGCAGUGACAGUCUUUGCAGUCACAACUGGAGUUAGGCAUAGAAUAAGGGUUUAACCCACCGCACCACCUCCCUCCUGCUUCAAGAGGAGUUCACUUCAUAACCACUGUAGAGAUCUCUCCUGUGGCUCUCUACUCUUCUUGGUUCCUGGGAUGCAUGAAAAAUGGCUUUCCUCUUUCACUCCUCAGUUAGCUAAUUAGAUAAGCCAUUGAAUCCACCGGAUCUUCUCACCACGGACUUCUGUUGUCCACCAUGCAAAAGUGGAG